CGCCUCUUGAAUUAAUAUAAGAGGUCCAGCCUGCCCAGUGACCCUGUUCAACGGCCGCGGUAUCCUAACCGUGCGAAGGUAGCGUAAUCACUUGUUCUUUAAAUGAGGACUAGUAUGAACGGCAUCACGAAGGUUAUACUGUCUCCUUUUUCCAAUCAGUGAACCUAAUCUCCCCGUGAAGAAGCGGGGAUGUAAUUAUAAGACGAGAAGACCCUAUGGAGCUUAAAACAACACAGCACUUGCUAAAAAAUUAAACAAUUUCAGAAUUUUCCUUUUCUAAGCAACAUGACUGUAAGUUUUUGGUUGGGGUGACCACGGAGUAUAAUAUAACCUCCAUGUUGGAAGAAUUUUAUUCUAAGCCAAAAAUUACAUUUUUAAGCAUCAAUAAAUUGACAUCUAUUGACCCAAUAUAUUUGAACAACGAACCAAGUUACCCUAGGGAUAACAGCGCAAUCCACUUCAAGAGCUCCUAUCGACAAGUGGGUUUACGACCUCGAUGUUGGAUCAGGGUAUCCCAGUGGUGCAGCCGCUACUAAAGUUCGUUUGUUCAACGAUUAAAACCCU
rnacentral:rRNA from 1 species